rnacentral:rRNA from 1 species
UACAGAGGGUGCGAGCGUUAAUCGGAAUUACUGGGCGUAAAGGGUGCGUAGGUGGUUAUAUUAGUUAGGUGUGAAAGCCCCGGGCUUAACCUGGGAAUUGCGCCUAAUACUGUGUAGCUAGAGUACUGUAGAGGAAGGUGGAAUUUCCGGUGUAGCGGUGAAAUGCGUAGAUAUCGGAAGGAACAUCAGUGGCGAAGGCGACUUUCUGGACAGAUACUGACACUGAGGCACGAAAGCGUGGGGAGCAAACAGG